rnacentral:rRNA from 1 species
CACGCCGUAAACGAUGGGUACUAGGUGUUGGGGGUUUCGACGCCCUCAGUGCCGCAGUAAACACAAUAAGUACCCCGCCUGGGGAGUACGGUCGCAAGACUGAAACUCAAAGGAAUUGACGGGGGCCCGCACAAGCGGUGGAGCAUGUGGUUUAAUUCGACGCAACGCGAAGAACCUUACCAAGACUUGACAUCCCUCUGACCGGACUUUAAUAGGUCCUUUCCUUCGGGACAGAGGAGACAGGUGG